GAUGAACGCUGGCGGCGUGCCUAAUACAUGCAAGUCGAGCGAACGGACGAGAAGCUUGCUUCUCUGAUGUUAGCGGCGGACGGGUGAGUAACACGUGGAUAACCUACCUAUAAGACUGGGAUAACUUCGGGAAACCGGAGCUAAUACCGGAUAAUAUUUUGAACCGCAUGGUUCAAAAGUGAAAGACGGUCUUGCUGUCACUUCUAGAUGGAUCCGCGCUGCAUUAGCUAGUUGGUAAGGUAACGGCUUACCAAGGCAACGAUGCAUAGCCGACCUGAGAGGGUGGUCGGCCACACUGGAACUGAGACACGGUCCAGACUCCUACGGGAGGCAGCAGUAGGGAAUCUUCCGCAAUGGGCGAAAGCCUGACGGAGCAACGCCGCGUGAGUGAUGAAGGUCUUCGGAUCGUAAAACUCUGUUAUUAGGGAAGAACAUAUGUGUAAGUAACUGUGCACAUCUUGACGGUACCUAAUCAGAAAGCCACGGCUAACUACGUG
rnacentral:rRNA from 1 species